rnacentral:misc_RNA from 1 species
GAUGAAGAAUGUAGCGAACUGCGAUAAGUAAUGUGAAUUGCAGAAUUCAGUGAAUCAUCGAGUCUUUGAACGCACAUUGCGCCCCCUGGCAUUCCGGGGGGCAUGCCUGUCCGAGCGUCAUUGCUGCCCUUCAAGCCCGGCUUGUGUGUUGGGUCGUCGUCCCCCCCGGGGGACGGGCCCGAAAGGCAGCGGCGGCACCGCGUCCGGUCCUCGAGCGUAUGGGGCUUUGUCACCCGCUCGAUUAGGGCCGGCCGGGCGCCAGCCGGCGUCUCCAACCUUCUAUUUUACCAGGUUGACCUCGGAUCAGGUAGGGAUACCCGCUGAACUUAAGCAUAUCAAUAAGCGGAGGA